CAGUCGCCGCGGGAAUACGUAGGGUGCGAGCGUUAAUCGGAAUUACUGGGCGUAAAGCGUGCGCAGGCGGUUAUAUAAGACAGAUGUGAAAUCCCCGGGCUCAACCUGGGACCUGCAUUUGUGACUGUAUAGCUAGAGUACGGUAGAGGGGGAUGGAAUUCCACGUGUAGCAGUGAAAUGCGUAGAUAUGCGGAGGAACACCGAUGGCGAAGGCAAUCCCCUGGACCUGUACUGACGCUCAUGCACGAAAACGUGGGGAGCAAACAGGAUUAGAUACCCCUGUAGUCCCUGUCUCUUAUAC
rnacentral:rRNA from 1 species